CGACGUGAUAACCUGCCUCACACAGGGGGAUAACAGUUAGAAAUGACUGCUAAUACCGCAUAAGCGCACGGCAUCGCAUGAUGCAGUGUGAAAAACUCCGGUGGUGUGAGAUGGAUCCACGUCUGAUUAGGUAGUUGGUGGGGUAACGGCCCACCAAGCCGACGAUCAGUAGCCGACCUGAGAGGGUGACCGGCCACAUUGGGACUGAGACACGGCCCAA
rnacentral:rRNA from 1 species